AAAUCUCAACUAAAAUUUAAUUAAUAAAAGGGCCUUUGAUUAUAGCAAUCGAGGUUGUCCCCUGGGGUGACACCCAAAAUGUCGCAAUAUCUUCGGUAGAAGCCAAUUCUAUUAGCCACCUUAUCAUCGGUGCCGUGACCACACUCGAUACCACCGUUGAUAAUGUUGGUGAUGACACCAUAGCCUGGGACUCUAUUAGCUGCCCUGUCAGCGUCAGACGGUGUCCAUUGUCCAAUGAUAACAUUGUGGCUUGAUGGCUUGUUUCCAUCAGGGGUCAUCCAGAACCAUACCGCUGUCUUGAAAGAUAUGACGGGGUCGGUUGCUACCAGAUCCGGAUUGUUUAUGAGAUCUGCCCCGAGAGCAUUACCUGCCCGACCAUAGUUGUAGUUGUGAGUGAGUUGAAUUGGGCCGCGGCCAUAGUAUUGUCUACCAGCAGGGCAUGGCCAUUCGUUUGAUGAACAAUAAGUUUGACGAUCAUUUUCCCUAAUAAAGCAAUAUCCCCAUGCAUAUGGUCCAUCUGGUGCCUCAGGCCACCCUCCUGUAGUCUCAUGAGAGGUUUGGGCCAAGAAAGCAGCAAGCUCCCUUUUACGGGUAUUAAGAUCUCCGGUGGUGCCAAAGCCACUAAAAGAACUUGCCGCAGAGAUAAAAGCAUUGUAAGUGUAGAAUCCAUUACUUUGGCAUCUCCCAUCGUUUCGAUAUUUGAGCAUUUGAUCGAAAAGAGCUGGGGUGAUUAUGCUGCUAACAUCGCCAUUGCUAGGGGUGGGCGUAGACGGUGUGGGGGUGGAGCUGCCAGGACACUGGCUCUGGCAGUUACCAGCGCUGCAGUAGUCAGGUGUGGAGCCACACCAACCAAACUGGCUACAACAUAAGCCACUGGGACACAGAGCAUUCCCAGCUUGUUUUCCACAUUGUUCUGCUGAUGAGGCAUCCAGCAAAAGCAAAGCCAAGGCGAAGAGGAUGAGAUUGUGUAACUUCAUUUUUGC
rnacentral:misc_RNA from 1 species